GACGUAGGGUGCGAGCGUUGUCCGGAUUUAUUGGGCGUAAAGAGCUCGUAGGCGGCUCGUCGCGUCGACCGUGAAAUUCCGCAGCUUAACUGCGGGCUUGCGGUUGAUACGGGCGGGCUAGAGUUCGGUAGGGGAGACUGGAAUUCCUGGUGUAGCGGUGAAAUGCGCAGAUAUCAGGAGGAACACCGGUGGCGAAGGCGGGUCUCUGGGCCGAUACUGACGCUGAGGAGCGAAAGCGUGGGGAGCGAACAGG
rnacentral:rRNA from 1 species